UGAUGGCUGAUGGCAUCUCAACUGCCUGACGACAACUUUACUUUGAACCCUUGCCCUGCACACGGGGUGUCCCUGUGACUUGGGUUGGAGUUAAGAGGGUCUACAUGGAGUGUGCCCGGCGUCCCGGACCUAAGCUGGCUUCUCCUCUCCGUGUCCACGCUCCCCACGCCUCCCGCGGGGGCUUUUGUGCUCAGCGUUGAAGGCGCAGCAAUUGCCAGUCACUCGGGCAAGUUUCUGCAGCACCUAAUCUGCUCACUGUUGCUUCUGUGCCAUUUUGAUUUUCAGUAAGUACGGUUUUCAUUUUAAAUCCAUUGAUUCCUUGUCACAGAUUGUUCUCUUUCCAAAAUUGCGCCUUAUGAUCCUUGAGGAUCCAAAUCCAGACUUUCAGGUGAUUUCUCCUUUUGCUUGAGCCAGUCUGUUUCCUGGAGGAACGUCUGCUCCGACUCCACACGCGGCCAGGGGUUGGUCUGGUUUGGCUUUGCCGCUGUUGUGCCCGCUUGCCCUGCCAAGGGUCUGCUGCCCCCAGUUAGACUCUCCAGAGCUGAGACCAGGGAGUGGAGGAGUCAUGUUCCAGGCACUGAGUUUUCCUGGUGAGCUUCCCGGAGUGUGGGGAGGCGGGGAUGGAUUUAGAACUGGGAGCGAGGUGGCAGGUCCGGUGCAGAGCUAGGGUUUAUUUCCUGUCUCUCGGGCAGAGUCUCAUCACUCGCUGACCAGCCUGCCCAGCCCUGCCCUGCGUGUGCUUCCCGAGGGCGUCUGCCACCAAGGCCAAGGGGGCGGCUGCGGGGAACGUCCUCAGCUGCCACUGGGGCUUGUGUUUGCCUCCACCCUCCCCAGAACCCAUGCGUUUUCUCUGUGGGGUUUUUCUCCCAUUUCAUGGGAUUCAAGUCUUCUUGCCUCUUUUUCGAGGACACCAAACAGAUGUUCUGCAAAGCAUUCUUCCCUUCCCUGCAGACAGUGAUUUUAGAGCUCUGCUCUUUCUCUGAGUCCUCCAGAUAACAUGUUGUUUCCCUCGAGCUGCAGAGCUAUUCCUGGAAACUUCUUCUGAAUGUUUGCUCAUGUUUGAAAACGGACAAAAGGGUACCCAAGCCCGGCAGCUGGCAGAUACAGAAUCAGUCACUACUCAGCUGGAGCUGGAUCUCAGACCUUAAUACGGCAAUGAUGCCCUCCACAGACCAGCAAUUUCUGUGAUUAGAGGGUCAGAUGUGGUCCAAAGACCUUUGUAGGGUUCUGUGGUGAGUAAAAUCUACCCACUGCAUCAUGUACCUCUCCCCCGGCCAUGGUCCCCAAAACCACACGUGUUGAAACUUAACGUGAUGGUAUUAGGAGGUGGGGCCUUUGGGCAGUGAUGAGUCAUAUGGGAGGUGCCCUCACGAAUGGGGUUAGUGUCCUUGUAAAAGAGGCCCCAGGGAGCUGCCACGACCCUUCCACCAAGUGAGGGCACAGCGAGACGGUGCCACCUAUGGCCCAGGACUCAGACAUGUGCAGAGUCAUGAUGUCGCACUUCCAGCCUCCAGAACUGUGAGAAAUACAUUUCUGUUGUUUAUAAGCUGCCCAGUCUGUGGUAUUCUGCUAUAGCAGCCUGAACGGACUAACGCAUACAUCUUUUCUCUUGAUUUCUCUUUUUCAAAAUA